rnacentral:tRNA from 1 species
GGGGAUUUAGCUCAGUGGUAGAGCGCUUGCCUAGGAAGCACAAGGCCCUGGGCUCAGUCCCCA